CAAAGAACAGGAAGAUAAGGUUACAGUGGGCAUGUCACCACCAAAACUGGACGACUGAAGAUUGGAUAAACAAUUCAGGCUGUUCUGGAGGCAACAGGGGGUCCUACCUGGAACUGGAUAGGUGUACCUAAUAACGUGGCUGCUCAACAUGACCUGCAUCACAUCUGCACAGAGAUGUAAUUCAGCGUUCCUGCACCAGAUUAAAAGGAUUGCUGUGCCCCACAGUUGGCUGAAUCCCACUGUACUCCCACAGUACCACUGAUCAGGCUUAGACUCACACUACGGGAGUGAAGACCCCUGUAAGGGCAUGCGGCAGACAGACAUCAGACAGCUCGUUACUGAAAUCAAUAUGCUGGGAAACUGCGGCCAGGGGACCUGGAAGCUGGCACACAGAGGGACAUCCCUUGCCGUAUGUUGCCAAAAACGAAGACAGAAAAACAUCAGCGCUGUAAGCGCACAGAAUCGUGUCACCACAUGAGAUUUGGCCUCUGAGACUCACUGCCAUGUACAUUUCAAAAUGUAUAUCAUAAGAAUGUAAUGCAUGUAUUCCCAGAGUCCACACCGGUACCAGGUAGACUUUAAAAAGUCUUGCUGGCAGUAUAAUGCAGCCAGUGCAACUGUUUCACUGUGCAGCACAGAGAACAUUUCAACCAGACAGGUCUUUUUCAGGUAAAACCUAACCUGACAAAGACAAAGAUCACCUUUAAAAGGGCUUCUUCACUGUCUGGGCUUUUUACACCCUUUAAAAAUGUCCACUUUAAAGCGAUUUGUGAAAACCUGAUCAUAUAUGGCACCUUAUGAAAUAAAGACUUAUUUAGCGGUCAACCUGGUCAAAAGCUUGUCUGGGCCAUGUAGUGAAGAGUAUUACAUUGCACUGUGUUUUUUCUGUUCUAUUUUCUGUUUUAACUCCCACACCCAGCAGGCACGCACACAUGUGUACACACACACACACGCACACUGUAAAAAUUAUUCAAUUUCAUGUAAGGCCUUUGAAAUGGAGCUUACA